rnacentral:rRNA from 1 species
CAAAAACAUAGCUAAAUGUCAUUAUAUUUGGUGUUUUCUGCUCAAUGAUAUAAUUAAAUAGCCGCAGUACCUUGACUGUGCAAAGGUAGCAUAAUCAAUUGGCUUAUAAUUGAAGUCUGGAAUGAAAGGAUAUACGGGUAAUUACUGUAUCUGAUAUUUAUACUGAAAUUGAUCUCCAAGUGCAAAUACUUGCAAUUAAUUGUUAGACGAGAAGACCCUAGAAAUUUGUGUAAAUGUUUAGUUGGGGCAACGUGGUAAGAAAUAACUUACAAUAAGGACAUGAAAAAAUGAUUUGGAAGAAAAAAUUACUCUAGGGAUAACAGCAUAAUUUAUUAAAGUUUGUGACCUCGAUGUUGGAUUUGGGAAUUAUAGUCCAGAAGACUUUUAAUUUUGCUCUGUUCGAGCGUAGCAC